rnacentral:tRNA from 1 species
GGCUUUAUAUUCAAACAAUGAUUUUAAAUUGCAAAUUUAAAGGUGAAUUAUAUUCUAAAGCUU